rnacentral:rRNA from 1 species
CCUACGGGAGGCAGCAGUGAGGAAUAUUGGUCAAUGGACGAGAGUCUGAACCAGCCAAGUAGCGUGAAGGAUGACUGCCCUAUGGGUUGUAAACUUCUUUUAUAUGGGAAUAAAAUGUUCCACGUGUGGGAUUUUGUAUGUACCAUAUGAAUAAGGAUCGGCUAACUCCGUGCCAGCAGCCGCGGUAAUACGGAGGAUCCGAGCGUUAUCCGGAUUUAUUGGGUUUAAAGGGAGCGUAGGUGGAUUGUUAAGUCAGUUGUGAAAGUUUGCGGCUCAACCGUAAAAUUGCAGUUGAAACUGGCAGUCUUGAGUACAGUAGAGGUGGGCGGAAUGCGUGGUGUAGCGGUGAAAUGCUUAGAUAUCACGAAGAACUCAGAUUGCGAAGGCAGUUCACUGGACUGCAACUGACACUGAGGCUCGAAAGUGUGGGUAUCAAACAGGAUUAGAUACCCGAGUAGUC